rnacentral:rRNA from 1 species
UACGUAGGGCGCAAGCGUUAUCCGGAAUUACUGGGCGUAAAGAGCUCGUAGGUGGUUUGUCGCGUUGUUCGUGAAAACCGGGGGCUUAACCCUCGGCGUGCGGGCGAUACGGGCAGACUGGAGUACUGCAGGGGAGACUGGAAUUCCUGGUGUAGCGGUGGAAUGCGCAGAUAUCAGGAGGAACACCGGUGGCGAAGGCGGGUCUCUGGGCAGUAACUGACGCUGAGGAGCGAAAGCGUGGGGAGCGAACAGG